GGCUCAGGAUGAACGCUAGCGGCAGGCUUAACACAUGCAAGUCGAGGGGUAUAUUUCUUCGGAGAUAGAGACCGGCGCACGGGUGCGUAACGCGUAUGCAAUCUACCUUUUACAGGGGAAUAGCCCAGAGAAAUUUGGAUUAAUGCCCCAUAGUAUAUAAGAAUCGCAUGGUUUUUAUAUUAAAGUUCCAACGGUAAAAGAUGAGCAUGCGUCCCAUUAGUUAGUUGGUAAGGUAACGGCUUACCAAGACUAUGAUGGGUAGGGGUCCUGAGAGGGAGAUCCCCCACACUGGUACUGAGACACGGACCAGACUCCUACGGGAGGCAGCAGUGAGGAAUAUUGGACAAUGGGCGCAAGCCUGAUCCAGCCAUGCCGCGUGCAGGAAGAAGCAUCUAUGGUGUGUAAACUGCUUUUGUACGGGAAGAAACACUCCUACGUGUAGGAGCUUGACGGUACCGUAAGAAUAAGGAUCGGCUAACUCCGUGCCAGCAGCCGCGGUAAUACGGGGGAUCCAAGCGUUAUCCGGAAUCAUUGGGUUUAAAGGGUCCGUAGGCGGUUUAAUAAGUCAGUGGUGAAAUCUGGUCGCUCAACGAUCAAACGGCCAUUGAUACUGUUAGACUUGAAUUACUAGGAAGUAACUAGAAUAUGUAGUGUAGCGGUGAAAUGCCUAGAUAUUACAUGGAAUACCAAUUGCGAAGGCAGGUUACUACUAGUGGAUUGACGCUGAUGGACGAAAGCGUGGGGAGCGAACAGGAUUAGAUACCCUGGUAGUCCACGCCGUAAACGAUGGAUACUAGCUGUUGGGCGCAAGUUCAGUGGCUAAGCGAAAGUGAUAAGUAUCCCACCUGGGGAGUACGUUCGCAAGAAUGAAACUCAAAGGAAUUGACGGGGGCCCGCACAAGCGGUGGAGC
rnacentral:rRNA from 1 species